rnacentral:rRNA from 1 species
CCUACGGGUGGCAGCAGUGAGGAAUAUUGGUCAAUGGCCGGAAGGCUGAACCAGCCAAGUCGCGUGAGGGACGACUGCCCUAUGGGUUGUCAACCUCUUUUAUCAGGGAAGAAUAAAUGCUACGUGUAGCAUGAUGCCUGUACCUUCUGAAUAAGCAUCGGCUAACUCCGUGCCAGCAGCCGCGGUAAUACGGAUGGUGCGAGCGUUAUCCGGAUUUAUUGGGUUUAAAGGGUGCGUUGGCGGUUUUUUAAGUUGGUGGGUAAACGUCGGGGCUUCACCUUGAUUUGCCAUUAAUACUGUAAGACUCGAGUUCAGUCGAGGUAGGCGGAAUAAGUUAUGUAGCGGUGAAAUGCUUAGAUAUAACUUAGAACUCCGAUAGCGAAGGCAGCUUACCAGACUGCGACUGACGCUGAUGCACGAGAGCGUGGGUAGCGAACAGGAUUAGAUACCCUUGUAGUC